UCAGAGGUGUACUUUGAUGGAGUCAA
rnacentral:piRNA from 1 species